GGCUCAGGAUGAACGCUAGCGGCAGGCCUAACACAUGCAAGUCGAGGGGCAGCACAAGGUAGCAAUACUGAGGUGGCGACCGGCGCACGGGUGAGUAACGCGUAUGCAAUCUACCCUUUAUCGGGGGAUAGCUCGUCGAAAGGCGAAUUAAUACCCCAUAACACUGCAAUUCGGCAUCGAGAAGCAGUUAAAACUCCGGUGAUAAGGGAUGAGCAUGCGUGACAUUAGCUAGUUGGUGAGGUAACGGCUCACCAAGGCUACGAUGUCUAAGGGGUCUGAGAGGAUGAUCCCUCACACUGGUACUGAGACACGGACCAGACUCCUACGGGAGGCAGCAGUGAGGAAUAUUGGUCAAUGGGGGCAACCCUGAACCAGCCAUGCCGCGUGGAGGAAGAAGGCCCUAAGGGUUGUAAACUUCUUUUGUACGGGGGUAACCUCGGAUACGUGUAUCCGACUGAAAGUACUGUACGAAUAAGCAACGGCUAACUCCGUGCCAGCAGCCGCGGUAAUACGGAGGUUGCAAGCGUUAUCCGGAUUUAUUGGGUUUAAAGGGUGCGUAGGCGGGUUUGUAAGUCAGUGGUGAAAGACUGUCGCUUAACGAUAGCAUUGCCAUUGAUACUGCAAGUCUUGAGUACACUUGAGGUAGGCGGAAUGUGUAGUGUAGCGGUGAAAUGCUUAGAUAUUACACAGAACACCAAUUGCGAAGGCAGCUUACUAAAUUGUCACUGACGCUGAGGCACGAAAGCGUGGGGAUCAAACAGGAUUAGAUACCCUGGUAGUCCACGCCGUAAACUAUGAUCACUGGAUGUUAGCGAUACACAGCUAGCGUCUGAGUAAAAGCAUUAAGUGAUCCACCUGGGGAGUACGUCGGCCACGAUGAAACUCAAU
rnacentral:rRNA from 1 species